AGUGUGACGAAUCCUCUCUAACUAGCCUCGACUUUACCAUGAAACCUUGAGAAUACUAAAAACGUCUGCCGGCCGAUGCAUCUAUUAACUUAACAGACCUCAAAUCCGUCUGUCGGCCGAUACUUUCAGAAUAAUGAAAUAGCCCACUGAGUGAGCACGCACCAAAACUCUUCAGAACUCUAAGACUGCUGGUUUAGUGAUAAUACUUAUCCGAUUUUACUGAAAGGAUUGAAUUCUUGGUUGAGGAAUGUAAAGCGUGAAUGAGUCUAGAAGACAGACUAACUCAGCUCAGCUUUAUCAGCGGGUUCAUUAUUGUGGAGUAAAGACCUAGAGGGAGCCAGAGGGAGCUGUAAGUCAGAGCGUGCUCCAGGGUUCUGUGGUGGUACCCUUCCUUACUUGAGGUUCAAGCUUAACACCUGGCUUAAAUCCUGAAUUCUUGUUAAGAGUGAGCACCAGUUAAAUUAUCAAUACUGGGACUGUAUCCUGGUCCGUCCUUCUUUUAGAUUUGACAUGGAAAGUGGCGUAGGUUCAAGGAGGAUUAAAAUGGCGGAAUUUGUAAUGUUUCUCAGAGAUGAUUGCAAGAUCAUAAUGGGUGAUCAUUCUCCCUUGGAAUAUGUUAAACCAGGAGAUGGGUGAGGUGUAGAGAAAGAAUAGCUGCAGGGAGAAUAGGAGAAAUAUAAAUAAUUAUCUGCUCUUCCAGAGACCGCUAAGAACACUACAGUUAGGAGAUUAAAUUGGAGUCUAGAUCAAUCCUACAGUGCUGGGGAUCAGAGACCCAAGAUUUAGAAGUAA